rnacentral:rRNA from 1 species
UACGUAGGGGGGCAAGCGUUUGUCCGGAUUUACUGGGCGAAAGCGCGUGUAGGCGGCCACGCAGGGUCCGUUGUGAAAACUAGAGGCUCAACCUCUAGACGCGACGGAAACCGUGUGGCUAGAGUCCGGAAGAGGAGAGUGGAAUUCCCUGGUGUAGCGGUGAAAUGCGCAGAUAUCAGGAAGAACACCAAUGCGAAGGCAGCUCUCUGGGACGGUACUGACGCUGAGACGGCGAAAAGCGUGGGGGAGCGAACAGGAUUUAGAAAACCC